UACGUAGGGGGCGAGCGUUGUCCGGAGUACUGGGCGUAAAGCGCACGCAGGCGGUUCGGUAAGUUUCGUGUGAAAUCUUCGGGCUCAACUCGAAGCCUGCACGAGAUACUGCCGGGCUUGAGUGUGGGAGAGGUGAGUGGAAUUUCCGGUGUAGCGGUGAAAUGCGUAGAUAUCGGAAGGAACACCUGUGGCGAAAGCGGCUCACUGGACCACAACUGACGCUGAGGCACGAAAGCUAGGGGAGCAAACAGG
rnacentral:rRNA from 1 species